UACGUAGGCAGCGAGCGUUGUUCGGAGUUACUGGGCGUAAAGGGUGUGUAGGCGGUUGUUUAGGUUUGGUGUGAAAUCUCCCGGCUCAACUGGGAGGUGCGCCGAAUACUGAAUGACUAGAGUGCGGGAGAGGAAAGUGGAAUUCCUGGUGUAGCGGUGAAAUGCGUAGAUAUCAGGAGGAACACCGGUGGUGUAGACGGCUUUCUGGACCGCAACUGACGCUGAGACACGAAAGCGUGGGUAGCAAACAGG
rnacentral:rRNA from 1 species